AUUUCAUGAUGACUAUUUCAGUUCUGCUUCUGAAUUGAUAUUGAAGAAAACUUAUACCCACAUAUCUGAGAC